rnacentral:rRNA from 1 species
AAUAGAUACCCAGGUAGUCCACGCCCUAAACUAUGUCGACUGGUUGUUGGGGGAGUCUGUCCCUCAGUAACGUAGCUAACGCGUGAAGUCGACCGCCUGGGGAGUACGGUCGCAAGAUUAAAACUCAAAGGAAUUGACGGGGACCCGCACAAGCGGUGGAUUAUGUGGAUUAAUUCGAUGCAACGCGAAGAACCUUACCUACCCUUGACAUGCCAGGAACCUCGCAGAGAUGUGAGGGUGCCCGAAAGGGAACCUGGACACAGGUGCUGCAUGGCUGUCGUCAGCUCGUGUCGUGAGAUGUUGGGUUAAGUCCCGCAACGAGCGCAACCCUUGCCAUUAGUUGCUACAUUCAGUUGGGCACUCUAAUGGGACUGCCGGUGACAAACCGGAGGAAGGUGGGGAUGACGUCAAGUCCUCAUGGCCCUUAUGGGUAGGCUUCACACGUAAUACAAUGGCGCAUACAGAGGGCUGCAAACCCCGGCGAGGGGGGUAGCCAAUCCCAAAAAGGUGCGUCGUAGUCCGGAUUGUUCUCUGCAA